GACGAACGCUGGCGGCGUGCCUAACACAUGCAAGUCGAGCGGGAACCUCAGGAGGGGUAACCCUUCUGAGGGGAGAGCGGCGAACGGGUGAGUAACACGUGGGCAACCUGCCCCGGACACCGGGAUAACCCAGGGAAACCUGAGCUAAUACCGGAUACUUCGGCGCGAUCGCAUGGUCGUGCCGGGGAAAGCUCCGACGGUCCGGGAUGGGCCCGCGGCCUAUCAGCUUGUUGGUGGGGUAACGGCCCACCAAGGCGACGACGGGUAGCUGGUCUGAGAGGACGGCCAGCCACACUGGGACUGAGACACGGCCCAGACUCCUACGGGAGGCAGCAGUGGGGGAUCUUGCGCUAAUGCGCGAAAGCGUGACGCGAGCGACGCCGCGUGGGGAUGAAGGCCUUC
rnacentral:rRNA from 1 species